rnacentral:misc_RNA from 1 species
CACGAAGGAACGAUUUCUUCUGUAUGCGUUGAGCAAGUAAGACGUGCGUGUGCCAAGAAGUGUAUCUGCCCACUGCCUUGUCACGAGCUUCAGUAACUGUGCGAUGGAGUGUAUUGUGUUGUAUACAACAAGGGAGGAGGUCGGAUCAUGCCGGCCAUCCCCAAACAUUGGGACGAAGGUCUCGGGUGUCAGUCAGGAGAUGGAGCACGUCCCGCAACAAGUCGGGCACCGGCGUCCUACAUCUGCGCACUACUAACUUCGUAGAGCCCCAUCUGUUUCUUUCGACGUAACUCCUAGCCACAGGGGAGCUCGAGUCUGACUUGUACGUUAAGCGUCUGGGAAGCCCCGGCCUCUACAGAAGAGUAUGCAGACCGCGGAGGCGAGCGGUCUGGAACAGGUCCUGCGAACUACCUCCAACCUGCGCAAACUAUCAUCUUGCACCUUCUAGGGAGGAAUUGGACCCUGCCUCGCACCAGCUGUCCUGACAACGUGGUGCCAUCCAAGGAGGGAGGACACACUGCCUCGCUACAUUUUCCACGGAGGAAUUGGACCCUCUCCUGAGCACAGGCGGUACCAUUCAGGGAGGAAGGACGAGACAGCCUUGCUUAACCUAACCUAACCAAUACAUGUUGUCAAUCACUCUUGUUAUAUUAUUAUUCCUUCCAUCUAAUGUGAAUGUACCCAUAUAAAUGCAAGUUCAUUAAUCAUUCCAUGUUCUGAUCUAAUAUGAAUGUGCCCACACAAUUGUAAUGUUAAUAAUCAAUCCUUCCGCGUUCUGUGAUGUACCCUCAUAACUGGUGUUAUACUUGAUAAUAAAUCUUUUUAAAGGAA